rnacentral:rRNA from 1 species
AUUGAACGCUGGCGGCAUGCCUUACACAUGCAAGUCGAACGGUAACAGGUUAAGCUGACGAGUGGCGAACGGGUGAGUAAUAUAUCGGAACGUGCCCAGUCGUGGGGGAUCACUGCUCGAAAGAGAAGCUAAUACCGCAUACGACCUGAGGGUGAAAGCGGGGGAUCGCAAGACCUCGCGCGAUUGGAGCGGCCGAUAUCAGAUUAGGUAGUUGGUGGGGUAAGAGCCCAACAAGCCAACGAUCUGUGGCUGGUCGGAGAGGACGACCAGCCACACUGGGACUGAGGAACGGCCCAGACUCCUAAGGUAGGCAGGAGUGGGGAAUUUUGGACAAUGGGCGCAAGCGUGAUCCGGCCAAGCCGCGUGCGGGAAGAAGGCCUUAGGGUUGUAAAGCGCUUUUGUCAGUGAAGAAAAGGUUCUGGUUAAUACCUGGGACUCAUGACGGUACCUGAAGAAUAAGCACCGGCUAACUACGUGCCAGCCGCCGCCGUAA